rnacentral:rRNA from 1 species
UACGUAGGGUGCAAGCGUUGUCCGGAAUUAUUGGGCGUAAAGAGCUCGUAGGCGGUUUGUCGCGUCUGCUGUGAAAACUCAGGGCUUAACUCUGAGCUUGCAGUGGGUACGGGCAGACUAGAGUGCGGUAGAGGAGACUGGAAUUCCUGGUGUAGCGGUGAAAUGCGCAGAUAUCAGGAGGAACACCGGUGGCGAAGGCGGGUCUCUGGGCCGAUACUGACGCUGAGGAGCGAAAGCGUGGGGAGCGAACAGG